ACUGCUAUCGGAUUGAUACUAAGCCAUGCGAGUCAUUGUAGUAAUACAAGGCAGACGGCUCAGUAACGCGUAGUCAACCUACCCUAUGGACGGGAAUAACCUCGGGAAACUGAGAAUAAUGCCCGAUAGAACAUUAUGCCUGGAAUGGUUUAUGUUCCAAAUGAUUUAUCGCCGUAGGAUGGGACUGCGUCCUAUCAGUUUGUUGGUGAGGUAAUGGCCCACCAAGACUAUUACAGGUACGGGCUCUGAGAGGAGUGGCCCGGAGAUGGGUACUGAGACACGGACCCAGGCCCUAUGGGGCGCAGCAGGCGAGAAAACUUUGCAAUGUGCGAAAGCACGACAAGGUUAAUCCGAGUGGUUUCUGCUAAAGGAACCUUUUGUCGGUCCUAGAAACACCGAUGAAUAAGGGGUGGGCAAGUUCUGGUGUCAGCCGCCGCGGUAAAACCAGCACCUCAAGUUGUCAGGAUGAUUAUUGGGCCUAAAGCAUCCGUAGCCGGCUCUGUUAGUUUUCGGUUAAAUCUAUACGCUCAACGUAUAGGCUGCCGGGAAUACUGCAGAGCUAGGGAGUGGGAGAGGUAGAUGGUACUCGGUAGGAAGGGGUAAAAUCCUUUGAUCUAUUGAUGACCACCUGUGGCGAAGGCGGUCUACCAGAACACGUCCGACGGUGAGGGAUGAAAGCUGGGGGAGCAAACCGGAUUAGAUACCCGGGUAGUCCCAGCUGUAAACUAUGCAAACUCAGUGAUGCAUUGGCUUGUGGCCAAUGCAGUGCUGCAGGGAAGCCGUUAAGUUUGCCGCCUGGGAAGUACGUACGCAAGUAUGAAACUUAAAGGAAUUGGCGGGGGAGCACCACAAGGGGUGAAG
rnacentral:rRNA from 1 species